rnacentral:rRNA from 1 species
UACGUAGGGGCAAGCGUUGUCCGGAAUCAUUGGGCGUAAAGGGCGCGUAGGCGGCCAGCACAAGUCAGUUGUGAAAUCUCCGAGCUUAACUCGGAAAGGUCAACUGAUACUGUGCGGCUAGAGUGCGGAAGGGGCAACUGGAAUUCUCGGUGUAGCGGUGAAAUGCGUUGAUAUCGAUAGGAACUCCGGUGGCGAAGGCGGCAUACUGGACCACUACUGACGCUGAUGCGCGAAAGCCAGGGAGCAAAGCGGG